rnacentral:rRNA from 1 species
GACGAACGCUGGCGGCGUGCCUAAUACAUGCAAGUAGAACGCAGUUGCGAACGGGUGAGUAACACGUAGGUAACUGCCUGGUAGCGGGGGAUAACUAUUGGACACGAUAGCUAAUACAGCAUACUCCCAGAUGGCCCUGCGUUGUAUUAGGUAGUUGGUGAGGUAACGGCUCACCAAGGCAACGCUACCUAGCCGACCUGAGGAGGGUAUUGGCCCAACUGGGAAUGAGACACGGCCCAGAAUCCUACGGGAGGCAGCAGUAGGGAAUCUUCUGCAAUGGGGGGAACCCUGACCGAGCAACGCCGCGUGAGUGAAGAAGGUUUUCUGAUCGGAAAGCUCUGGUGUUAAGGAAGCGGUACUUAACCAGAAAGGGACGGCUAACUACGUGCCAGCAGCCGCGGUAAUAC